UGUAGAUUCGCUAACAGGGAUGUUAGCAUUUGCCAGUGACUUUUGUAAGUCUUUAGCUGACACUCUAGGAUUCUUCUUCACCUCAUUGAGCAGUCUGCUCUGUGCUCUUGCAGUCAUCUUUACAGGACGGCCACUCCUAGGGAGAGUAGCAGCAGUGCUGAACUUUCUCCAUUUAUAGACAAUUUGUCUUACCGUGGACUGAUGAACAGCAAGGCUUUUGGAGAUACUCUUAUAACCCUUUCCAGCUUUAUGCAAG